rnacentral:rRNA from 1 species
GACGAGCCACACAAACGUUAUUCGGAAUUACUGGGCUUAAAGGGUGCGUAGGCGGCGCGAAAAGUUGGGUGUGAAAUACCUCGGCUCAACCGAGGAACUGCGCCCAAAACUAUCGUGCCCGAGGAAGAUAGAGGUGAGCGGAACUUACGGUGGAGCGGUGAAAUGCGUUGAUAUCGUAAGGAACACCCGUGGCGAAAGCGGCUCACUGGUCCGGUUCUGACGCUGAGGUGCGAAAGCGUGGGGAGCAAACAGG